rnacentral:rRNA from 1 species
GAUGAACGCUGGCGGCGUGCCUAAUACAUGCAAGUCGAGCGAACAGACGAGGAGCUUGCUCCUCUGACGUUAGCGGCGGACGGGUGAGUAACACGUGGAUAACCUACCUAUAAGACUGGGAUAACUUCGGGAAACCGGAGCUAAUACCGGAUAAUAUAUUGAACCGCAUGGUUCAAUAGUGAAAGACGGUUUUGCUGUCACUUAUAGAUGGAUCCGCGCCGCAUUAGCUAGUUGGUAAGGUAACGGCUUACCAAGGCAACGAUGCGUAGCCGACCUGAGAGGGUGAUCCGCCACCCUGGAACUGAGACACGGUCCAGACUCCUACGGGAGGCAGCAGUCGGGAAUCUUCCGCAAUGGGCGAAAGCCUGACGGAGCAACGCCGCGUGAGUGAUGAAGGUCUUCGGAUCGUAAAACUCUGUUAUUAGGGAAGAACAAAUGUGUAAGUAACUAUGCACGUCUUGACGGUACCUAAUCAGAAAGCCACGGCUAACUACGUG